GACGAACGCUGGCGGCGUGCUUAACACAUGCAAGUCGAACGGUGAAGCUCCAGCUUGCUGGAGUGGAUCAGUGGCGAACGGGUGAGUAACACGUGAGCAACCUGCCCCUGACUCUGGAAUAAGCGCUGGAAACGGCGUCUAAUACUGGAUACGAGAAGGGUCCGCAUGGGCACUUUCUGGAAAGUUUUUCGGUUGGGGAUGGGCUCGCGGCCUAUCAGCUUGUUGGUGAGGUAAUGGCUCACCAAGGCGACGACGGGUAGCCGGCCUGAGAGGGCGACCGGCCACACUGGGACUGAGACACGACCCAGACUCCUACAGGAGGCAGCAGUGAUGAAUAUUCCACAAUGGGCGAAAGCCUGAUGCAGCGACGCCGCGUGAGGGAUGACGGCCUUCGGGUUGUAAACCUCUUUCAGCAGGGAAGAAGCGAAAGUGACGGUACCUGCAGAAGAAGCACCGGCUAACUACGUG
rnacentral:rRNA from 1 species